GAGAUCUCAAACAGAGAUCCUGAUGGCAAAGCCCAUGUUCUCACCUCCUGUACUCCACAUGCCGGCCACUGUGGUAAGUACCAGCAGGAAUGAGGCUUCCCGCCUUCAUGUAAGUGGAACCUAGUGAAGAGGGGAAACUUGAGAGAAAGGUGAAAGAAAUGAACAGACUAAGGAGAAGAAGCAGAAGCAUUUACCGGAAAGAAGUGCUCACAGAAAUAGCCCUCGUAAAGUUGAGUGACACCAGGAAGACAAUCAGAGGUGGUUUGUUGUGCAGGAACACCCACAAACAUUUUCAUUUGGUUCUGCACACCCAGACGCCUCGUGUCACACCGCAGCUCCGUCCAGAUGAUUCUAAUAAUAGCCCAGUGGAAUCCUGUGGUUGGAGGAGACUGAGAGAGGUCACUGAGUCUGUCUUCUGCCUGCAGAAGGGACAUCCAGCAAGAUUAUUUCUUAUGAAGCUUUCUCUUGAGGAGGUGAAAGAGGCCAAACCUGAAAGAUCCCUUUGGCCCUCCUGUAGCCUAAAGUGACAGCAGGUAGAGUGACCAGGUCUGGCUCUAGUCCCCCCUUGCUCUUCUAAGGGAUAUUUCUUUUCCUUUGUUGGAUCUUCUUCUGCUGGGCUUUGGGCUAGAGCUAAGCACCCCAGCUGGAGGCAGUGCCCCACCCCAAGAGCAGCUUAAGCAAAAAAUCAUGGAAAGCACCUGCUGGGGUAAAUGGCCCUCGCCAGCUUCAGUCUGUCUGAUGUGGUAGAGGCACAUGUAUAUCCCACACAGAUGCUCCCUGUUCCUUUCCUUCCCAAUAGUCUCUUUGCAAAUUUUUUCCCCAGCUGUUUUCAGGAAGCACAAAGCAAGAGUUUGUUCUUGUGUUGUUGGAGCCCCUCAGGUUUAACUCUGAAGCCCCCAUUGGGGCAGACCUCCCUUGGGCCCAUAUCAGGGAUGGGACUAGGGGGCUGGACAGAGAAUUUGGAACUAGUCUGAUCCUACAGGGGUCACAACCUGCAGCCCAAG
rnacentral:lncRNA from 1 species